AGAGUUUUUCAAUGGUAGUGGGUCCGAAUGGAAGUGGUAAAAGCAACUUUAUAGAUGCAAUGCUCUUUGUAUUUGGGAAACGAGCUAAGCAGGUCAGUCAUCAUCCAAUGAUUGUUGCAUGCCACUGUGAAGGUACAGGAUGAAAAUUUUGGGGAGACAGUAAUCUGAAAAGCAAUUUUUGGGGCCGUUCAGUCCAGCUUGAUCCUGUUGGUCUUCUAACUCUCGAGUUUGGUGAUGGUGAAGUUUUUCAGUAGAGCAAGGUCACAACUUUUGUGUUCUACCAAUCACCAAUCACCAAAACUUGGAUAGUGCAGGCAUUUCUGUUCCCUUUCAGGAGAUAAUUGAUAUGGAUGAUGGAACAUAUGAAGCUAUUGCAGGAAGUGACUUUGUCAUUACUAGAGUUGCAUUUCGAGACAACUCUUCAAAGUACUAAAUAAAUGACCGUGAAAGUAAUUUUACAGAGGUUACUAAGAAAUUGAAAGGAAAAGGAGUGGACUUGGACAACAAUCAGUUUUUUAU